GUUGAAACACCGGUUACGAUCACCGAAGUUAAGCAACGUUGAGCCUGGUCAGUACCUCGACAGGUAACCGCUUAGGAAUACCAGGUGCUGUAAG